CUACGGGGCGCAGCAGUGGGGAAUAUUGGACAAUGGGGGAAACCCUGAUCCAGCAAUGCCGCGUGUGUGAAGAAGGCCUGCGGGUUGUAAAGCACUUUCGGUUGGGAGGACUGCUUCUAGCACUAAUAUUGUUGGAAGUUGACGUUACCUUCAGAAGAAGCACCGGCUAACUCCGUGCCAGCAGCCGCGGUAAUACGGAGGGUGCAAGCGUUAAUCGGAAUUACUGGGCGUAAAGCGCGCGUAGGCGGCUAGAUCAGUCGGGUGUGAAAGCCCCGGGCUUAACCUGGGAACUGCAUCCGAUACUGUCUAGCUUGAGUACAGGAGAGGAGAGUGGAAUUCCACACGUAGCGGUGAAAUGCGUAGAUAUGUGGAGGAACACCAAUGGCGAAGGCAGCUCUCUGGCCUGAUACUGACGCUGAGGUGCGAAAGCGUGGAGAGCAAACAGGAUUAGAUACCCCAGUAGUC
rnacentral:rRNA from 1 species